rnacentral:lncRNA from 1 species
UUUUGAAAAAAUAAUGACAAAAGUGAUAGUUUUUCGUAACUUCAAAUGUUAUAACUUUUCCAAUUCUUAUCAAAAUGUAUACAAUUUGGUAUAAAAACAAAGAUAUGAAAAAGACAAGGCACCUACAACACCCAGUAAUAUGUUACGAAUGUAUAUUUGUUAAUGAAAGUUUUGUGUUUUUUAUUGAAAUUUUGGAUUUUUAUUUGCAAUUUUUUAUAUUCUAACAGACGAUCAUUAAAUAUGAUAGAUAAACAAGUAGAAAAGAAUAUAGUAAUACAUAAUACUCUCCUCUUAUGUAAUACUCUCCUUAAACGUAAAUCAAUUUGUUUAAACCGGAUAUGAUGAUUAAAUGUUGUAUCGGCAUGGUUUUAUCUGUCUACUUUGCUUUUUCAAUUUGGUUGCCAGCUUCAACCUAAUUCUUGAUUUAGAACUAUGAUUUUGAACUAAAACAUUUCCGUGUUGAAUAAAAUACUAUUUAUUCUUAACUGUAUUUUUUUUGAGGCUUCAGUUAUCAAAUGUUGGUGGUAAUUUUAGUUAUGCCACUGUGAAAGCGUCAAUUGUUAAGUAGACAUAAAAAGUUUGAAGUAUGCACAAAGCCUGAAAGUGUCAAAUAUGGAACCUAAAAAAACCUGCCUUUGCCACUGACUGUAUAAAGGUUUUUUAAGGUCUGUUUGUCAAGCGUCAAGUCAGGUUAUCUUGCUACUGGUACCAUAUAGUACAUGCUUAAUGCAGGUUGUACGCCAUCCAUAUGACGAUUGGGCAUCUGUUUGUAAAAUAUUGCUGCAAAUCUUUUUGAGAGAGCCAUUACUAUGGAGAACCAUCUAAACCAUACAAGUGUGGAAACAUGGAUAUUAAUGUGAAAUAAACUGAUGAGUUUAUUUAACUUAGCUGGUAAAAAAAAGAGUUUUCGUGAAACAAAUUUAAUGAAGACAGUUAUAGAAUGAAGUUCUUUCAUUUGCUGGCAACAUUUUUAAACGUGGUCCAGAUCGAAAAAAUUUGGUGCUAGAAAUUGUCGAUAGUGGAAGUGAUAGAUGCAUCGAACCUAAUUUGUAAUUAAUUUCUGUAAAUAAAUUUCACUUUACUAA